rnacentral:rRNA from 1 species
GUGGGGAAUCUUCCGCAAUGGACGAAAGUCUGACGGAGCAACGCCGCGUGAGUGAAGAAGGUUUUCGGAUCGUAAAGCUCUUUCGUUAGGGACGAACGUGCUCUUUGUGAAUAAUGAGGAGUAAUGACGGUACCUAAAUAAGAAGCCACGGCUAACUACGUGCCAGCAGCCGCGGUAAUACGUAGGUGGCAAGCGUUGUCCGGAAUUAUUGGGCGUAAAGCGCGCGCAGGCGGGAUAUCAAGUCUGUCUUAAAAGUGCGAGGCUCAACCUCGUGAGGGGACAGAAACUGGUAUUCUUGAGUGUCGGAGAGGAAAGUGGAAUUCCAAGUGUAGCGGUGAAAUGCGUAGAGAUUUGGAAGAACACCAGUGGCGAAGGCGACUUUCUGGACGAUGUCUGACGCUGAGGCGCGAAAGCCAGGGGAGCGAACGGGAUUAGAAACCCCAGUAGUCC